rnacentral:rRNA from 1 species
AUGGUGUCGUGGAGUGAUGGGUUGGGUAGCAGCGAGCACACUGUGGAGUACAUGAGAUCAGCUUCCGACGACGGCACCAUUAAGGAAGGUAAAAACUGUGGAUUGGUAGAAUGGAUUGAUCCAUCUUGGCCCAAUACCCUUGAGAAUGCACUGUCCAAGUUGUGGUCUAUGUAUGAACAGAGUAAGAUGGACAGGAAUGAGGAAUGUCUUAUGCAUUCAUUUACUGUUCAUGACCUGACACAAGAGAAGAAGAAACUCCAGGCCAGCUAUGAGAAGUUGGUUGAAGAUGUCAAUACACCAAUGGAUGCCCAGGAGCAGAGGGCAGUGAUAGAAAGGAAAAAUGCUGAAACAACCAAGUUGCGGGAGAAGUAUGACACUGUGAAGAACAUAGCAGCUGCUCAAGCUACUUUCAUUAGGAACAUGAAGUUGAAGCUAGCUGAUGAGAGGAAGAAUUUGCAGAUCCACAUUGAUGAGCUCAAGAAGACAGUUGAAGAGAGCAAUGUGAAGCUGGAGGGGAUCAAGGCCAUCAUAAAUGGAUAA